AUGACCCAAGCUCCUGUUUGUUGAUUGUGAUGAAAUGCAUGCUGAGGCACAUGCCUUGGGAGCUAAGUGGCAGCUAUACUUCACUACUAUGGCAGUAAAGAUGACUAUAAAGACUGGCGGGGGAUGGAUCCUUUCAAAUGUACCUGAGCUGGGAUGCCCAGCUUGUGGAACGCACAGCAGGAGGUGAGCAGUGGCCAAAGGAACAUCUGAAGGAACACCUGAUGAGGCUGCACCCUUGGCGGAAAGAACACCUGACAUGGCUGAAAGCUUGGUGGAAAAACCACCUGAUGAGGCUGCACCCUUGGUGGAGGGAACAGCUGACAAAAUUCAAUGUUUGGGGAAAGCAACAUCUGGAAAGUUUGAACAGUCAGCAGAAGAAACACCUAAGAAAAUUAUGAGGACUGCAAAAGAAACAUCUAAGAAAUUUGCAUGGCCAGCAAAAGAAAGACCUAGGAAGAUCACAUGGGAGGAAAAAUAAACAUCUGUAAAGACUGAAUGCGUGGCAGGAGUAAUACCUAAUAAAACUGAAGUUUUGGAAAAAGGAACAUCUAAGAUGCUCACGUGUCCUACAAAAGAAACAUCUACAAAAGCAAGUACAAAUGAAGGAAGCAACAAAGACAGCAACUGAACAACAAGAAAAUGAUAUUGGAAUUAUUGAAUGAGCGCCAUAAGAUCUAACAAGUAAUGACAAUUUUCUUUUUUUAUACCAAAAUAAUAGAAGUGAUAAGAUGCCCACAUCAGAGUCAGGACAAAAAGAAGAUACGAAAUCACCUUCAGUUUCUGAGGUCACAGCUAUGGAUGUGGAAGAGAUAGGAAAGGCCUCACCACUUAAGAUAGAAGCAGCAGCUGCAUAGUGGUAACAGCAAUGAGUGGAUGUCAAAAGACAGAUUCAACUAGCCUAUCAAUAUUCUUGGGUGCAGUUCCUUCUCAUGAAAGAGCAAGGGAACUUAAAAAAUAUCACUGUGAACAACUUACAGCAAAAAUAAAACAAAUGAAAAAUAAGUUUUGGGUACUACAAAAGGAACUAUCAGAAGCAAAAAUAAAAUUGCAGUAAGUGAAUCAAAAGGUUAAAUGGGAACAAGAGCUCUGCAGUGUGAGCUUGGAAUGAAGUUGAUAAUAGUGAGACCUUGUUGGUACAAGACUAUGUAACACAACCUGCACUUCUCAACAAAAAAUUGCUUUUCUGACUUCUGCACUCAAUAGCAAGACAAAUCUCUCCUCUGCCUCCUCAUCAGACUACUCAAUGUGAAGGCAAUAAGAAUGAAAACCUUUAUGUAUAAUAAUUCACUUCCACUUAAUAAAUAGUGAAUAUAU